rnacentral:rRNA from 1 species
AGGGAUCAUUAAAAAAAAGAGUUGCAAGACUCGAAAACCAUCGUGAACAUACCUCUCGUCGUUGCUUCGGCGGGCUGCUCGUCAGGGCGCCCGCCGGAGGACCACCAAACUCCGUUUUCUUAGCGUACCUCUGAGUGGACCACAAAAAAAAUGAAUCAAGACUUUCAACAACGGAUCUCUUGGUUCUGGCAUCGAUGAAGAACACAGCGAAAUGCGAUAAGUAAUGUGAAUUGCAGAAUUCAGUGAAUCAUCGAAUCUUUGAACGCACAUUGCGCCCGCCAGUAUUCUGGCGGGCAUGCCUGUCCGAGCGUCAUUUCAACCCCUCAAGCCCUGUGCUUGGUGUUGGGGCCCCUACGUGCGCCGUAGGCCCCGAAUUCCAGUGGCGGGCUCGCCGCGAACCCGAGCGUAGUAGCUUUUGCCUCGCUCAGGGCCCGCGGCGGGCGCCUGCCGUGAAAGAACCCACUGUCCUAAAGGUUGACCUCGGAUCAGGUAGGAAUACCCGCUGAACUUAA